rnacentral:tRNA from 1 species
GGAAAUGUGCCUGAAUCUAAAGGGCUAUUUUGAUAGAAUAGAUCAUAGAAAUUUAUACCUUCCUCAUUUCCC